rnacentral:rRNA from 1 species
UACGAAGGGGGCUAGCGUUGCUCGGAAUCACUGGGCGUAAAGGGUGCGUAGGCGGGUCUUUAAGUCAGGGGUGAAAUCCUGGAGCUCAACUCCAGAACUGCCUUUGAUACUGAAGAUCUUGAGUUCGGGAGAGGUGAGUGGAACUGCGAGUGUAGAGGUGAAAUUCGUAGAUAUUCGCAAGAACACCAGUGGCGAAGGCGGCGACCUGGACGGACACUGACGCUGAGACGCGAAAGCGUGGGGAGCAAACAGG